AAUAUCUUUGUGGUGUUCUCUGUAUUACCUGGGGUUGAAUGUUGACCUGCUUUGCUAGUUUAGGAAAAUUUUCCUGAAUAAUAUCCUGAAGGGUAUUUUCCAGCUUGGAUUCAUUCUCUCCGUCGCAUUCAGGUACACCUAUCAAACGUAAAUUUGGUCUUUUCACAUAGUCCCACAUUUCUUGGAGACUUUGCUCAUUCCUUUUUAUCCUUUUUUCUCUAAUCUUUUCUUCACAUUUUAUUUCAUUAAGUUGGACUUUGACCUCUGAUAUCCCUUCUUCUGCUUGAACAAUUCGAGUGUUUAAACCUGUGCAUACUUCUCGGAGUUCCUGUAUUGUAUUCUUCAGUUCCAUUAAUUCACUCAUACUCCUCUCUAAGUUGUCUAUUCUCAAUAGGAUUUCAUCAAACCUUUUUUCAAAGUUCCUAGUUUCUUUACAUUGGGCUACAACAUGGUCUUUUAACUCACCGAAGUUUGUUAUUAUCCAUUCCUUGAAGAGCGAUUCUGUCAUCAGGAGGCGCUCGUUCUCCAUCAAGCCUUGUUCCAUUGUUGAUGUGGAACUGUGAUCAUCUUUAGAGGGAGAGGCGUUCUGACUUUGAGUAUUCUCAGCUUUUUUACGCUGGUUUCUUCCCGUCAUUGUAAAUUUAUCCUCCUGUCGUCUUUGAAAUUACCAACUUUCAGAUUAGGUCUCUUGAGUGGGCGUCCAGGUUGUUAGUUCCCAGGGCCAGAGCAGCGGCGUUAAAACUGAUGGUGCUUUUCUGCCCAGGAUUCUCCUGUCUGGCUUCCUUCUUGUGUCCGUAGUAGGUGACUCUGCCUUCCCGGGGCUCCAAACCUCGGUCAGAAGGGGAACCAGUCCCGUUUACUCUGCGCUGAGCGCUGCCACGCUGAGGUGCCAUCACAGCCGCUGCCGGGCUCUGGUGUCAUGCUGGGGGCCCGUGUGGGUCCUCCGAACCUGUUUGCUCCGAGAGCUGCUGCGCCGAGGAGCCGGUGGAACCUCUGCGCCAGCCACGAGAGUCGUGCUGGCCACCCGUGUGUUUCCUCCACUGGGGGAUCUUCUGCUCCGUGAGAGACCAGAAUUUGUCGAAAGUGUGGCGUCCUCUAGUUCUCCGCGCCUUCCCUGAGAGCUGCAAUCCUGGGAUGUUAGCGAUCGGCCAUCUUGGAUCAUUCUCAAUACUCAUCUGUGCCUGGCGGCCACGGGGAAGGGAAAACAGGAACACUUGGAGGCAGCACUCUCCUGUCCUCACCCACACAGGGCAUGGCUUCCUAGACGAGUCUCCGAACCUGGAUGUCUGCAGUGUCCUGGCAUGCUGCUGUUCUUGGAAGUCACUGAUUGGAAACCGGAACCGAGAGCCACCUCCUUCCCAGCCUAGCUGAGAAGCCAUUCCAGGGCAGGACAGAGCUUAUGGAAUUUACCAAAUAAAUCACCUGACUUCGUGUUUGGCUACA